rnacentral:rRNA from 1 species
AGUUGCAAAACUCCCUAAACCAUUGUGAACGUUACCCUUAACCGUUGCUUCGGCGGGCGGCGCCAUGCCGCCCCUCGGCCCUUCCCGGGCGCCCGCCGGAGGAUACCCAACUCUUGAUAUUUUAUGGCCACUCUGAGUCUUCUGUACUGAAUAAGUCAAAACUUUCAACAACGGAUCUCUUGGUUCUGGCAUCGAUGAAGAACGCAGCGAAAUGCGAUAAGUAAUGUGAAUUGCAGAAUUCAGUGAAUCAUCGAAUCUUUGAACGCACAUUGCGCCCGCCAGUAUUCUGGCGGGCAUGCCUGUUCGAGCGUCAUUUCAACCAUCAAGCCCCCGGCUUGUGUUGGGGACCUGCGGCUGCCCGCAGGCCCUGAAAAACAGUGGCGGGCUCGCUGUCACACCGAGCGUAGUAGCAUCAUUCUCGCUCAGGGCGUGCUGCGGGUUCCGGCCGUUAAACGACCUUCAUAACCCAAGGUUGACCUCGGAUCAGGUAGGAAGACCCGCUGAACUUAAGCAUAUC